GUCUAAGCUUCAAAAUGGCACAGCACUCAGAUACCCUAGUAUAUCAUAAUGUCUUUGACAUUUUCCUGAGGAAAAAGCAUGGAUUAUGAGUCAAUGUACAAAAGGAAGAAUAAAAGCUAUCUCUGUGGAAUUUAUGCUUCUAUGGAUGAUCAAAAGGAGCAUCCAACGGUAUAGCAGGGAACAUUCCAAGAAGGCUCCAUGAAAACUCUGGGACUUGAGGCAGCCUUUGAAAGCUGAGUGAAUUAUAUAAAACCCAUGCCCAAAUGCUACUUCCCAUGGUUGAAAGAAGUUGGGGUUUAGGACUGGGCACAUCUGGGUUCUAUCCUUGGCCUACCAUAUGCCAGCUUAGUAACUGGGUGCAAUUUUACUUAGCCUCCUCUGAGACUCAGUUUCCUCAACUUUAUGCUACUGAUCAAACCAACUGUGCAGAGUUCUCAUGAAUAAUGAGAUACACAAGAUACAUUUUUUUUUAUUGUCUGGCAAAUAGGUGCUCAACAAAUGCAUCAAUGGACACGCAAUUUGAAGCCAUCUUGAAAGCACGGGUGAAAAUACACUGUAUGAAAAGCUCUGGAGCCAUCAGGACUUCACAAGUACAACAGAGCAUCCCAUGACAACAGAGCCAACUUGGAAGUACUGUUCAUUGCCAUCGCAGAUUAAUUAUCAACUCCACUGCCUGCUCUUCAAGACUUGGGACCUUCAGAAAUGAAUCAAAUAUUAGAAAAUAUAAAGUUGGCUUCUGUUUACACCCCUGCUCAUUUCUACCUCUGUGGAUUGGAAGAUAAGAAAGCCAAAUUUCUUGCUCCCCAGGGUACCACUGAAGAUUCAUAUCCAUGGAACAGAGUCCAAUUAUAACAUUUCCUGAGAUUCUGAAAGUCUUAUGUGAUCAAGCUGAGAUUUUUUUGAUUGGGAUUGAGCUCCAUUAACCUUUCUCAAAGAGAAGGAAUCUUUUUGCACUGUGCUAAGGGACUCUACCCAUAUAAGUCAGCAUGUGACUUGCCAGAAUUUGAAAAGAAAAACCUGGCCUGGACUUAUGAAAGGGGCAUUGGAUCCUAAUUCUUCAGGCUGCUGCUUCUCCUGGCAACCUUUAAAGGAUAAUGUGGGACUGUGCUGAUACCAUCCGGGUGAAGGACAGCUUCAUUUCUAUUUAAAUUUACAUCUGUUGCAAACUCACAUCACAAUUAAAUGUGUUUCUUAGGUAUCUUACUAAAAUUGAGGCUCUUUGGCUCUUAUGUAAAUUUUCCAUUACGUAGAUGUUAAGGAAUGAGAAAAUCCAAAUUCUGGUGUACAAUCUAUUUUGGCAAGUAUUUAAAAAUUUCUGAGCCUGUUAAUUCCUCUGCAAACCAAACACUUUUGACUAGAUUCAAUUUUUUUUUUAAAUGUGGCACUUUGGCAACAUGGUAAAGUUUUUAUAUUCAUAGGCUAAAUAUAGA
ensembl:lncRNA